CUACGGGCGGCUGCAGUGGGGAAUAUUGGACAAUGGGGGAAACCCUGAUCCAGCAAUGCCGCGUGUGUGAAGAAGGCCUGCGGGUUGUAAAGCACUUUCGGUUGGGAGGACUGCUUCUAGCACUAAUAUUGUUGGAAGUUGACGUUACCUUCAGAAGAAGCACCGGCUAACUCAGUGCCAGCAGCCGCGGUAAUACUGAGGGUGCAAGCGUUAAUCGGAAUUACUGGGCGUAAAGCGCGCGUAGGCGGCUAGAUCAGUCGGGUGUGAAAGCCCCGGGCUUAACCUGGGAACUGCAUCCGAUACUGUCUAGCUUGAGUACAGGAGAGGAGAGUGGAAUUCCACAUGUAGCGGUGAAAUGCGUAGAUAUGUGGAGGAACACCAAUGGCGAAGGCAGCUCUCUGGCCUGAUACUGACGCUGAGGUGCGAAAGCGUGGGGAGCAAACAGGAUUAGAUACCCUUGUAGUC
rnacentral:rRNA from 1 species